CGUGCCUGGCGCUUCCCCCUGUGCCUCAGCCGUGGGCUCCCUCAGCCUCCCGUCUGGGUGGCAGAUGUAAACAGGAUGUGUUCACACCUCUGAAGUGAGACAGCACUGAGGGAAGAGUGAGGAACGAACACAGAAUUUUUGGAGAGCCUGGCAAGUGACUGCCUCCGUGGCUGGCACUGAGAGGCUGAGAAAGCUGCAGAAACCCCUGCUGAAGAGAGACCAAAAACUCCCACCACUGAGUUUAUGGCCUUUCUAUCUCAUUAUGCAGGUAUUCAUUACCCCCUUUACGUGAACCUGGGGACUCAGGCAUCCUGGUUGGUUUUUAAACCAGUUGUUAAAGUAUUUGCACAUAAAGUAGUUGCUGCCUACUGCAAAUCUGAUUAAUGUGGACGGCAACAAGCUGUAAAGCUGCUGCCUAUUUCUUCUCAUUUUCCAAACUACCUGUGCUCUUGGGGAUUUCAUCCAACUUUCCCAUUUCUUAACCUAUUCUCAAUAUUAAUAGCUGAUUUCAGAAAAAGUAUGUGUGUAAUUAGCUGGAGAGGAAAACCAGCCAGAAUCAUUUAAUUCUGCAGAUUUCAUUGUCUCAUCAGAUUUCAACUAAAGAAAAUCAUAAAACUUUUCACUGUGAGAUCCUGUCCUAAUGUGGAGUCACCACCUCACCCAGCCAACCUGCAUUCUCCAGCACUUGGAUGAAGAAGCAUCUAUUACUGUAAAACAGCUGUAAACACACAACUUUGCUAGUCUGGUUAAGAAAUCUAUAAAGUCCAGCUGCUGAAUCUCAACCCCAGGCUUCCAUACAAAUCCCUUUACUGCCCCACUGACUAGGGGAAUUGCAGCCUUUAAGAAAUCAUGGAAAUGCCGUGUUUGGGAACAAGGGACAGUAACACUGAGGCACCUGCCAGGGACUGAAAUGGUUCAUGCCUUAAACAUUGUUAUGAAGGGGUUUUGCCCAUUAUAGCAAAAACUGUAUAAAGAAGCCACAAGCACAGAAGCCCACCCCUCCCAGAAGAUACCUGACUGGAGCUUUGGACCCUGAGUUAAGACACGUAGGUGUUUGGUGCCAUUGGUCAGAACUCAUUGUGGAGAAGAACUGAGAAUGCAAAAGGUUAUGGACCUUUAUGAAUGAAACUCAUCAACAUUUGUCUUCUGAGCACAGGUAAAUGCCCACAAUACCAUAAAUGACGACAUUUCACUGAACUUUAACAAUAUUAUUUCCUCUGCAUAGCCUCACUGCUUACCUGCGCAGUUGUUUUGAAUGCUUUGUGAGUGAGAUAACACUAAAAUUGAAAGCUACAUAAUAUAGGUGAAAUUCAUAUUAAAAGUCAUCUGUGUUUUAACGCGGUUUCUUUUGCCAGUUAAUAUUUCUUAUAUCUUCUUUCUGCAGAAGCAAUGCAAGAGCGGGCUAUUUUGCAGGUGUAUGUGCAUUGCCAAGCAGAGAUGCUGUUUGUGAUAAUAUCAGCAUAAGAAAAUCUACUCAGAGAAACUUGAACCUUUUUAGUUUUUGCUAUUACUCUUUCAACAACUCUUUCCCGUAAAAUUCAGCAAUGCGCGGGCAGUCAUCAGCAUUAGGCAUCCAGCUGCUUUGAAGCCCAGAACCUCCAUGUCUUUAUGAUUUAGCUGAACUAACUUCAAAGUUGACAGGGCUAAAUCACAUCAGGGUACUCUCAGGGUGAAGCAAAGGUCCACACAGGAGCUCUGCCUGGAUACAUUCCUGUGCGAGCAAGUCUGCAGUUGGAUAUUCAGCUUUAGAAACUAGAUCUCCACACCACACACACACAGAAGUUCAAGUUGAUUUGCUGACAUGGCAUCUGAGUUUCUAAUUUACCUGAAUUACAACAGCACCAUGUAAUUAGGCAUAAAUAAGGGCCUUUGUUCUGGAGGGGAGGAAAGUUUUAUCAGUUCUGAACCAUAUGCAAUUGCGUGUCUAAUCUCUGCCUGCAAUUAUUUCAAAUGCAGAUCCAGAUGAUAGCAUUUAUAUUCAUUCUGAGAUUCAUUGAGUUUGAGGCCAGAAGGGAUCAUUACACCAUCUGGUCUGACCUCCUGGAUGCCACAGACCAUUACAUUUUCCCAAUUACCUCUAUAUCGAGCCCUGUAACAUGUGUUUGACUAAAGCAUAACUAUUUUUGACUAAAGCUUAUCUCCCAGUAAGGCACCUAGUCUUGAUUUGAGGCCAUCAAGAGGAGAGAAUCCACCACUUUGUGAGUACUUUGUUCCAAUGGCUAAGCACACUCACCAUUAAAAAUGUAGGUCAUGUUUCCAAUUUGAAUGUGUCUGGCUCCAGACUCCAUCCAUUGGAUCUCAUUACACUUUUCAGAGCUAAGUCAAAAAGCUCUUUGACACCCACUAUUUUUUCCCCUGUGUAAGUGUUUAUUCCCUGCAGUCAAGUCGCCUCUCAAGUAUUUUGUUUUGUUUUUUUCUAAUAAGCUUUGGUGAACUCUGAAAAUUCACAGGGCAAAGCUGUUUUUGCAGUCCUUCUGUGUAUUUUUAUUUUACCUGAUAUCUAUUUCACCAGUGCCCAGAUGUUUCUCUUGGUGCCAGUGAUGCACACAAGGAGCAGAGGAGUCUCUGCCGCCCUGGCAGCAUGUCCUGACCUGCUUUUCUGUUAGGAACUGCCAGCCUAUAAUGAAGUGUCUCCUUCCCAGUACCCAGCUGUGAGAUCCGGAAAAAUGUCCUCACUAAAUGUUAUCUUUCCUCAUUAAUGAAAGACUGCAACAGAGUUAUUUUGCUUCAGCCCAAGCCAGAAACCUUGCAUUGGACUCAAUGUCAGGCAAUACCAUCUGCUCAUAACCUACACAGAUACUAAGAUGACAGUAGUUCCAAUCCUGUUCUGACUGAAAUCAACAGCAGAGCUGCCCUGCUUGUAAUGAGAGCAUGAGCCAGUGAAACUUCUCUUGACAGACAACAGGAAACUUGGGGUUUUUUGGAGAGCAGCAAUCUUUAGGCAAGGACUACUCAGCAUUCGAGCACAGAUUAGGAGAACACUGCAGAUCUGGUAUCCCCAAGCAGGGCAGUGAAAGUCUGUGGGUGGACUAAACCCACGUCCUUUUAAUUUCACUAUUGAUUACAGACUCAAAUACAUUGAGAGAAAAGAGCAAAAGAAAUUGAGCUGGCCAAGACAACAACAUUUACGUGCCACAAGAGACUCUUACUCCUUGUAUCACUGUCACAGCUCUGUGCAUUUAAGGCCAUUCCCUGAGGCAGAUGAGGCUUUUCCAAAGGUUAGAAGCUAAGCAGAUGAAGUCUGGGUGAUGCAGAGGAUCCACAUAACUCUGCGUCACUGCUUUCAGUCUGUACCCUCUGAGAUCCAGCAUGGCAAGGGCCUGCUGGAAUGCAUUCCCCUUGGCUGGCAUGCCUUGGCAGCCCUGCUGGCUGGGAAGCCUUGUCCC